rnacentral:lncRNA from 10 species
CUCCUUUUGUGAGGAUUGGGAUAUUCCGACUCCUUAAGGGCCUGGCGCACAUAAGGGCCACAUCUGCCAGAGCCUGGAGUCUGCGAAGGCCGGGACCCGGUUCCCCGGCCCACAGUGGGGGUGUGCAAACCCGAGAGAACUGGUCGCUGAAACCUCUACAACUUAGUUGACCGUAACUGCCAGAGCCCUGCCCUGAAUUCCUGUCCUUACUCCCUCUUUAAGAUUGCGUACCCACUGCAGAGUGCUGAAGACGGGGUAGCCACGAGGUUGCAAAUUCGUGAAGAAUCAGCAUCAUGUUUGGCAGCUGAGUAUUGGAGCCAGGAGCCUGCCAUGAGGUUUUGAGAACAGAGUGCUGUUUUAGAGCUGGCAGCAGCAUCUCAGCCCAAGAGAAGGUUAUAUUCCCAGAGGAUGUCAGUCCCAAGGACCAGUAGCUGCCAUCAGUUUGGAUUCUGAAAACUAACUGGCAUCAACACUGGGUGUAGAAACAUGCUUGCCUUAUGUAUCAGAGGACAUGCUCAGCAGAUCCAAGAGAUAUAUUUGGCAACUUUUUCUAGAAAAGGCACAUUGGGUAUCAUUCAUUACAUUCUUGAGUUUUUUUGGGUUUUUUUUUUUUUUUUUGAGACAGUCUUGCUGUAUUGCCCAGGCUGGAGUGUGGUGGCACAAUCACAGCUCAUUGCAUCCUCAAUCACCCAGGCCUAAGCAAUCCUCCCACCUUGUAGCUGGGACUACAGCUCACAGCACACCUGGCUAAAAUUUUUUUUUU